UGGCCCUGGCAAUGGGCAUAGAGAAACGUUGUUGGUGAUGGUGUUCUUUUAUCAUUCAGGGGAGAGCAGAUGAUAGUCCUUUGUUCAUCCUAGCUUGAUGCCUGGCUUGGUGACUAAAGCUGUCUUAUGCUUAGGACUCAUGA